UACGGGGGGAGCAAGCGUUGUUCGGAUUUACUGGGCGUAAAGGGCGCGUAGGCGGCCUCCGCAAGUCAGUUGUGAAAUCUCCGAGCUUAACUCGGAAAGGUCAACUGAUACUGCGGGGCUAGAGUGCGGAAGGGGCAACUGGAAUUCUUGGUGUAGCGGUGAAAUGCGUAGAUAUCAAGAGGAACACCUGCGGCGAAGGCGGGUUGCUGGGCCGACACUGACGCUGAGGCGCGAAAGCCAGGGGAGCGAACGGG
rnacentral:rRNA from 1 species